rnacentral:rRNA from 1 species
AUGGCAGGUUCCUUGCAGCCAACAGUAACCCAGGCUAAACUAAACUUUAUGCAACAUCAAGUAUUAAGUACGCCUAAUCCUUGUGUUGCUUGUGACUUGCGUACAAGUGCGGCGGUCAAAGUUGAGGUGACCACGCGACAAGCGUGCAGCGCGAGGGCACCAUGCUUCCUACUCGCAAGUUUGUUGUUGCUGCUGCUCGCCCAGCUGCUUGUGGCAGUGGCCGGCGUCGAGUUCGCCUACGAGGGCUUCCCCGCCGCCGGGCUGGCGCUCGACGGCAUAGCAAGCGUCACGCCGGAUGGGCUGCUGCUGCUCACCAACGACACCGACUUGAACCUAGCCCACGCCUUCCACCCGGCCCCGCUCAGGUUCCACCGGACGUCCUCCUUCUCGACCACUUUCGUGUUCGCCAUCGUGUCGGAGCUCGCCGACCUGAGCACGAGCGGGUUCGCGUUCCUCGUCGCGCCGACCAGCAGGGACCUGUCUUCGGCGAUGGCGGCGCAGUACCUCGGACUGUUCAACGGCAGCGACAACGGCGACGCGCGGAACCGCGUCUUCGCCGUCGAGCUUGACACGGUGCGCAACCCGGAGUUCGCGGACAUGAACGACAACCACGUCGGCGUCGACGUCAACAGCCUCAACUCCUCGGCGGCUGCCAUGGCAGGCUACUACGACGACGCCACCGGCGCGUUCCGGAACUUGAGCCUGGCAAGCCGGGAGCCCAUGCAGGUGUGGGUGGACUACGACGCUGCGGCGACGGAGAUCACCGUGGCCUUGGCCCCAGCGCGGUCGCCCCGGCCCAGGAGGCCGCUCCUGACCACAAGGAUCGACCUCUCGAUGGUCGUCGCCGACACGGCGCACGUCGGCUUCUCGUCGGGGUCCAGCAUCGUGCUGUGCAAGCACUACGUGCUCGGCUGGAGCUUCAGCCUGGACGGCCCCGCUCCAGCGCUCGACCACGCCAAGCUGCCGACGCUGCCCCGCAUUGGCCCCAAGCCCCAGUCGAAGACGCUCGCCGUCGCGCUGCCGAUCGUCACCACGGCAGCCGUCCUCGCCGCGGUCGGCAUCGGCCUCUUGUUGCUCCGCCGGCGGCUCAGGUACGCGGAGCUGCGCGAGGAUUGGGAGGUGGAGUUCGGGCCGCACCGGUUCGCGUUCAAGGACCUGUACUACGCCACCGCCGGGUUCAAGGACAAGCGGCUGCUGGGCACCGGAGGGUUCGGGAGCGUGUACAGGGGCGUGCUCCCGGGGUCCCGUACCGAGGUCGCCGUGAAGAGGGUGUCACACGAGUCGAGGCAGGGGUUGAGGGAGUUCAUCGCGGAGGUGGUAAGCAUCGGCCGGCUCCGGCACCGCAACCUCGUACAGCUGCUCGGCUAUUGCCGGCGCAGAGGGGAGCUCUUGCUGGUAUACGAUUACAUGCCACAUAGCAGCCUCGACAAACACCUGCACUGGCACGGCCCUGCUCUGGACUGGGCGCAGAGGCUCCGGAUCAUCAGAGGCGCUUCCGGGCUGCUGUACAUGCACGAGGACUGGGAGCAGGUCGUCAUCCACCGGGACAUCAAGGCGAGCAACGUGCUCCUGGACGGCGAGAUGAACGGGCGGCUCGGCGACUUCGGCCUGGCGAGACUGUACGACCAUGGCGCGGACCCGCAGACCACGCAUGUGGUGGGCACCAUGGGGUACCUGGCGCCGGAGCUGGUGCGCACUGGCAAGGCGACGACCCUCUCCGACGUGUUCGCCUUCGGGGCGUUCCUCCUGGAGGUCGCCUGCGGCCGGAGGCCCAUCGAGGAGGAGGAGGAGGAGGACGUCUACGGCGACGACGACCGCUUCGUGCUGGCGGACUGGGUGCUGGGGCACUGGCGGAAUGGCGCCAUCACCAUCACCCGCGCGGUGGACGCGAAGCUAGGCACAGGGUAUGACGCCGCCGAGGCGGACACUGUGCUGCGGCUGGGGCUGACGUGCCUCCACCCGUCGCCCGCGGCACGCCCGAGCAUGAAACAGGUGAUGCAGUACCUCGACGGCAGCGCGACGUUGCCGAAGCUUCCCCCGACGUACGUGACGGUCAACAUGCUUGCGGCCAUGGAGACACACCAGGGCGUCCUUGGCACGUGGGCGGUCUGGCGGUCGGCGUCCAGCGUCGCCACCAUGUCUGACAUUGGCCUCUCCGGCCGAUGA